rnacentral:rRNA from 1 species
AGUGAACGCUGGCGGUAGGCCUAACACAUGCAAGUCGAACGGCAGCACAGUAAGAGCUUGCUCUUACGGGUGGCGAGUGGCGGACGGGUGAGGAAUACAUCGGAAUCUACUUUUUCGUGGGGGAUAACGUAGGGAAACUUACGCUAAUACCGCAUACGACCUACGGGUGAAAGCAGGGGAUCUUCGGACCUUGCGCGAUUGAAUGAGCCGAUGUCGGAUUAGCUAGUUGGCGGGGUAAAGGCCCACCAAGGCGACGAUCCGUAGCUGGUCUGACAGGAUGAUCAGCCACACUGGAACUGAGACACGGUCCAGACUCCUACAGGAGGCAGCAGUGGGGAAUAUUGGACGAUGGGCGCAAGCCUGAUACAGCCAUACCGCGUGGGUGAAGAAGGCCUUCGGGUUGUAGAGCCCUUUUGUUGGGAAAGAAGAGCAGCAGGUUAAUACCCCGCUGUUCUGACGGUACCCAAAGAAUAAGCACCGGCUAACUUCGUG